UUGACACUGCGGAGCAGAGCAGUACACUCCCUCUAGAUCACUGUGGCCUCUGUGUGCGGAGUAGGUGGACUACACACUGCCAGCGAUGUGUAGAUGAAAGAGCAGCGCCUGGCCUCCUAGAGCUCACGUCUCCAGUGGGGAUGGCUGCCCUGGAUCAGCUGCUUCAGAUUUUCGUCUCUCCAAAUAUGAUGGUGUACAAACUGGUGUGGGGCCCUGGCUAUCCACAGUCUUCUCAGGAGUGUUAGCAGUACCUGAAGUCUUUUUUUUCUUCUUCUUAGGUUCACGGAAGGGCCAUGGGUGUUUGAUUCAGCUUUCUUUUUCUCCAAAUCCAAAUUGCAGAACUACCUUUUAUUCCCCCUAUUUUCUUCCCUUUUUACUUCCCAAUGCCCAAUUUUAUAUAAAAUAAUUUUUAGAGUAUGUACUGUGUUUCAACACUCAUUUUCCCAAAGGAAAAUGAAAUAUAUCCAUCUUAAAGAUUUCCUAAUAAAAUGGGUUAAUUUCUAAUUCUAGAGAAGUUC
rnacentral:lncRNA from 1 species